GAUGAACGCUGGCGGCGUGCCUAAUACAUGCAAGUCGAGCGAACAGACGAGGAGCUUGCUCCUUCGACGUUAGCGGCGGACGGGUGAGUAACACGUAGGUAACCUACCUAUAAGACUGGGAUAACUUCGGGAAACCGGAGCUAAUACCGGAUAAUAUUUCGAACCGCAUGGUUCGAUAGUGAAAGAUGGCUUUGCUAUCACUUAUAGAUGGACCUGCGCCGUAUUAGCUAGUUGGUAAGGUAACGGCUUACCAAGGCAACGAUACGUAGCCGACCUGAGAGGGUGAUCGGCCACACUGGAACUGAGACACGGUCCAGACUCCUACGGGAGGCAGCAGUAGGGAAUCUUCCGCAAUGGGCGAAAGCCUGACGGAGCAACGCCGCGUGAGUGAUGAAGGUCUUCGGAUCGUAAAACUCUGUUAUUAGGGAAGAACAAACGUGUAAGUAACUGUGCACGUCUUGACGGUACCUAAUCAGAAAGCCACGGCUAACUACGUG
rnacentral:rRNA from 1 species